UACGGGGGGGGCAAGCGUUGUUCGGAAUUACUGGGCGUAAAGGGCGCGUAGGCGGCCUACUAAGUCGGACGUGAAAUCCCUCGGCUCAACCGAGGAACUGCGUCCGAUACUGGCAGGCUGGAAUCCGGGAGAGGGGAUGUGGGAAUUCCAGGUGUAGCGGUGAAAAUGCGUAGAGUAUCUGGAGGAACACCGGUGGCGAAGGGCGGCAUCCUGGACCGGUAUUGACGCUGAGGCGCGAAAAGCUAGGGGGAGCAAACGGGG
rnacentral:rRNA from 1 species